GACUUUAUUUUAUGUAAAUUUCCAAGCCUGUACUUUAUUACUUUUACUUGAGUAAAGAAGUUAAACCAGUACUUCUACUUUUACCAGAGUAUUUUUUAACAGAAGUAUUUGUACUUUAUACUUGAGUAUGGAAAGUGAGUACUUUUGCCAUCUCUGGUGAAGGGAGACCAGGCCAGGAGACUCAAAGAGUGGUGUGUGUGCGUGCGUGCGUGUGUGUGUGUCUGUAUGUGUGUGUGCAUG